rnacentral:lncRNA from 1 species
GCAACACACAAUAAACAGAGCCUGGUGUUGACUGAACCUUUGAACUUGACCAUGUCUGGUUUAAAUCUGCACCAAACACACGCAGCUUCAUCACAGCCUUUCUGCGUGAACGCACCAGUCGAGCCGUGAUGAAGUUCGCUCGCGCCGGAUUCGUUUUGCUCAUCUUUCUGUCCGUCGGACGCUCCGCUCCUGUGACCGUCUGCGAGAGCCUGACCCAAACUCUUCAGAUCAGGAGAGACGACCUGCUGGGGAAAUGGUUUCUAAUAGCAGAAAGCACCAACAUCAUGGGAUAUCAGCUGCUGACGAACGAGCUUGUGGACAACUCCUGGGCAAAUUUUGUCGCAGAAAGCGAGGAUGACGGUCUGAAGGCUCACAUCCACUUGAAAAUGUUGGGCAGCUGCUUCUCUGCGUCUCUUUUUUACUCCUUGGUAAACAACUCCAUCACUAUGGAGAGACCCUAUCAUUCUACCGGUGUGAUGCUCAACACCGGCUGCCCCGACUGCCUUGUGUUUUCUUUUAAAUUCACCUUUGGGAGAAACUCUCACGCUGGUGUCCAGCUCCUGAGUAAGAGCAAAGACACACAGACUG